ACCUAUUUGGCCGGAAAGCGGAGGAAGGGUAGCCGGCCUGAGAGGGCGACCGGCCACACUGGGACUGAGACACGGCCCAGACUCCUACGGGAGGCAGCAGUGGGGAAUAUUGCACAAUGGGCGAAAGCCUGAUGCAGCGACGCCGCGUGAGGGAUGACGGCCUUCGGGUUGUAAACCUCUUUCAGCAGGGAAGAAGCGAAAGUGACGGUACCUGCAGAAGAAGCGCCGGCUAACUACGUGCCAGCAGCCGCGGUAAUACGUAGGGCGCAAGCGUUGUCCGGAAUUAUUGGGCGUAAAGAGCUCGUAGGCGGCUUGUCACGUCGGGUGUGAAAGCCCGGGGCUUAACCCCGGGUCUGCAUUCGAUACGGGCUAGCUAGAGUGUGGUAGGGGAGAUCGGAAUUCCUGGUGUAGCGGUGAAAUGCGCAGAUAUCAGGAGGAACACCGGUGGCGAAGGCGGAUCUCUGGGCCAUUACUGACGCUGAGGAGCGAAAGCGUGGGGAGCGAACAGGAUUAGAUACCCUGGUAGUCCACGCCGUAACGGUGGGAACUAGGUGUUGGCGACAUUCCACGUCGUCGGUGCCGCAGCUAACGCAUUAAGUUCCCCGCUGGUGAA
rnacentral:rRNA from 1 species